UUAUGACAUACCUGCCUAACCCGGACAUUAAUCUACUGAAGAUGGAUUGGCCUGGUCAUGGUCCUCUGCUAACCUUCAACGGCAUGUACAUUACCUAAAUUGAAAUCUGCACUUUUUCAUGCCACGUGUGGUUUGAUGUGAUGGUCCAAGGAAUGUAGGGUGCAUUAGAAUUGGUUUUUAUGUGAAGAGAAUCUCCCUUCCUAUUUACCUUUCAGCAGGGCAGCUGCAGGCUUUCCUUCUCACUUGACAAUGAAGGCAUUCUUUCCCACCGCUUAACCCAAGAGCAGCUACCCUGGCCGGCUCAGAAUUGCAUAGCGCCAGUCAGGCAUGCCGUGAACUGGAAAAUGUUUUUGAAAUCAAGGAAAAGCAGCAAAAAGGAAGGCGUUACCAUGGAACUGAGAGAGGAGAUAAAAAUCUUUGUUCCUGAUGGUCUUGUUCCCACCUGCCUGGGUGCUGCAGCUCUGUGCUGCCUGAGAAAGCCAGUGACCAAGAGGAGCAGAAGACUACCAGUCGACCUUCCAACCACGAUGGCCGUUGAAGAGAUGCCAUCAAGCCAGGGUCUCUGCUUCUCCCUGCUGCAGCCUGUAUCCGAGACUGGCUUCCUGACCUGCACCUCAGUGAAAGGAAGGAAAGAGAAGGGGAAAGAGAAACAGAAGGUACAGCAACUUUUUAAUAACUUUUUUCCUUAUUCCUUUUGCUCACAGUAAUUCUCACACUCUGCACCUGCCCCGAAGGUUUG
rnacentral:lncRNA from 1 species